rnacentral:ncRNA from 2 species
AUACGUGCUCCGGGGUCGGUGUAAGUCCGAACCGGCGGUCAUAGCCCGCGACCCGCGAGCCGGCAGCCUCCUCCCGGAGGCCGACGGCGGACGGUUGAACCGGUGGAACUCCGGUACCGACAGUUAAAGUCUGGAUGAGAGAAGCACGUAC